ACCCAUUGCCAUUUUGUUGAUUGUUCCAGUGCUUUCUCAUAUGGCUUUUGGAUGUCACCUAAUCUCUAUUUGUUUUUUGUCAUUGCUGUAGAGAAUUUUCGAGCACUUUGCACAGGUAAGCCAACACUGUCUGUCAUUUUAAGUGUUAGGUUAUUCCUUAAGUUUAUGUUACACUGAUGCAAAUACUCAGAUUUGGACUUCUUUUCUCAUUACAAGAAGUUUGUACUGAAAGCAUUGUUGAUAUUGAAAAUAGUCAGUUGUAAUCAGGGUUCAAAUUAUCAUUUGAACACCAUACAAUUUUUUUUGCAAUACAUUACCAAUACCAGCACAAUUCAAUUUUAUCAUAUUGCCCCAUGGGUGUGUCACAAUGCAUUCUUACAAUACAUUCUGCUAUUUUGAGCCUUGGUUGCAAUAUGUGAACUGAUGUUAACUGUAAUACUGAGACUCUUAGUUGCACUAUCCUUCUAAACAUGUGCUACUCCCACUUCAAAUCAAUAAUUCCGCUAUUUUGAGCCUUGGUUGCAAUAUGUGAAUGGAAAAAUCACUUUAUUUUUGGCCCAAGGGAGCCAUUUCUCAUUUUCUUGUUGUCUUGCAAACUAAAUUAGUAAUUCAUCUUGUGGUUUGCAAUUCUAAUUUCUGCCUGAUAAUCCAUACUUAGCGAGACUUCUUUAUGGUUUAUUAAAUCUAAACUGUCCGCUUUAUUCUGUUGCUCGAUUGCUUGCUGAAUUGAAAUUCUAAUUCCUUGUGGUAAAUGGUAAUUUCCCAGAGAUCUGUCAAUAUUGGGAGUAUUUUUAAUGUUUCCUUGGUAAAUGGUAAAUGGUAAUUUCCCAAGAGAUCUGUCAAUAUUGGGAGUAUUUUUAAUGUUUCCUUGGUAAAUGGUAAAUGGUAAUUUCCCAAGAGAUCUAAACUGUCUGCGAACAUUCCAGAAGAACCGAUCAAAUAGAUAGAUGAAAGAAAGGAACCCACAGCUUCCGCCCAAGUGCAGACUCUGCAUUCCAUUUAGUGUGUUCCAAUGCUAUUUUUAUUUCUGAUAUCUGUGUCAAUGUGCAUAUGGGUGUGUUGGUAUGUGGCUGUAAGUAUCUAAUGCUUUGACAAUGGUUUGAGAGAAAUGAAACUGAAAGUGCUUUGCAAGGUGUCUUGUAGCA